rnacentral:snRNA from 1 species
GUCUUUGCGCUUGGGGCAAUGACGCAGGUAGUGAGGUUUUAACCAAGGUCCGUCUAUUGCUGGUUGAAAACUAUUUCUGAAUAAGUAGCAGUUUAUCAAGUUGCAUUAAAUUCAUUAAUACAAUAACAUUAUG